rnacentral:tRNA from 2 species
GCCUUGGUGGCGUUGGCAAAUAACUGGUAAUCAUUGGGUCCCUGGUUCGAGUCCAGGUCGUGGAGCCA